GAUGAAGAACGUAGCAAAAUGCGAUAAGUAAUGUGAAUUGCAGAAUUCAGUGAAUCAUCGAAUCUUUGAACGCACAUUGCGCCCGCCAGUAUUCUGGCGGGCAUGCCUGUUCGAGCGUCAUUAUCAACCCUCAAGCCCCUUUGGCUUGGUGUUGGAGACUGGCGGGGCGCAUGCGCCCGGAGCCACUCCCAAAUACAAUGACGGCGGCGACGAUGACCCCCGGUACACUGAGCUUCUCACCGAGCACGUGCUGGAAGGGUCUUGUGGCCACGGUCUGCCUCCCCUCUGGGAGAAACGGAUUUCAUCCACCAAGGUUGACCUCGGAUCAGGUAGGGAUACCCGCUGAACUUAAGCAUAUCAAUAGACGGAGUA
rnacentral:misc_RNA from 1 species